AAGAGAACCAGCUUCACCGAUCCAGCUCUUGAAAGUGGAAAAGGUGAACACGGACAUCUCUACUUUCCCUGCAGCUAGGGUCAAAAAGAUUGUGGUAGUCAUGGGCUACUUGGAUGUCAUGCUGUGGGAA